rnacentral:lncRNA from 1 species
UAGUUUUGGUAGUGAGCUACAUAGUAUGAGGUGUUCCAUUAUAAAGUAUUUGAUAAACUGAUUUUUAUUGAUGUUCUUUUAUUUUAAUUGCCGGGGGUCUAUCGAAAACAACCUCUCUACUUCUUCGGGGGUAGCGGUAUGGACUGUGUACAUUUUACCCUCCCUAGAUACACUGGGCUUCUUGUUGUUGUUGUUCUAUUUCAAUUGGUCUGCUUCUAA